AUUGAACGCUGGCGGCAUGCCUUACACAUGCAAGUCGAACGGCAGCACGGGUGCUUGCACCUGGUGGCGAGUGGCGAACGGGUGAGUAAUACAUCGGAACAUGUCCUGUAGUGGGGGAUAGCCCGGCGAAAGCCGGAUUAAUGCCGCAUACGAUCUACGGAUGAAAGCGGGGGACCUUCGGGCCUCGCGCUAUAGGGUUGGCCGAUGGCUGAUUAGCUAGUUGGUGGGGUAAAGGCCUACCAAGGCGACGAUCAGUAGCUGGUCUGAGAGGACGACCAGCCACACUGGGACUGAGACACGGCCCAGACUCCUACGGGAGGCAGCAGUGGGGAAUUUUGGACAGUGGGCGAAAGCCUGAUCCAGCAAUGCCGCGUGUGUGAAGAAGGCCUUCGGGUUGUAAAGCACUUUUGUCCGGAAAGAAAUCCUUGGCCCUAAUACGGUCGGGGGAUGACGGUACCGGAAGAAUAAGCACCGGCUAACUACGU
rnacentral:rRNA from 1 species